CAUGCAAGUCGAACGCUCACCUUCGGGUGGGAGUGGCAGACGGGUGAGUAACACGUGGGAACGUACCCUUUGGUUCGGGACAACUCUGGGAAACUGGAGCUAAUACCGGAUACGCCCUUUUGGGGAAAGGUUUACUGCCGAAGGAUCGGCCCGCGUCUGAUUAGCUAGUUGGUGGGGUAACGGCCUACCAAGGCGACGAUCAGUAGCUGGUCUGAGAGGAUGAUCAGCCACACUGGGACUGAGACACGGCCCAGACUCCUACGGGAGGCAGCAGUGGGGAAUAUUGGACAAUGGGCGCAAGCCUGAUCCAGCCAUGCCGCGUGAGUGAUGAAGGCCUUAGGGUUGUAAAGCUCUUUUAUCCGGGACGAUAAUGACGGUACCGGAGGAAUAAGCCCCGGCUAACUUCGUGCCAGCAGCCGCGGUAAUACGAAGGGGGCUAGCGUUGCUCGGAAUCACUGGGCGUAAAGGGCGCGUAGGCGGCGUUUUAAGUCGGGGGUGAAAGCCUGUGGCUCAACCACAGAAUGGCCUUCGAUACUGGGACGCUUGAGUCUGGUAGAGGUUGGUGGAACUGCGAGUGU
rnacentral:rRNA from 1 species